AUUGAACGCUGGCGGAAUGCUUUACACAUGCAAGUCGAACGGCAGCACGGACUUCGGUCUGGUGGCGAGUGGCGAACGGGUGAGUAAUGUAUCGGAACGUGCCCAGUCGUGGGGGAUAACGUAGUGAAAAUUACGCUAAUACCGCAUACGAUCUAUGGAUGAAAGCGGGGGAUCGCAAGACCUCGCGCGAUUGGAGCGGCCGAUAUCAGAUUAGGUAGUUGGUGGGGUAAAGGCCCACCAAGCCAACGAUCUGUAGCUGGUCUGAGAGGACGACCAGCCCCACUGGAACUGAGACACGAUCCAGACUCCUACGGGAGGCAGCAGUGGGGAAUUUUGGACAAUGGGCGAAAGCCUGAUCCAGCCAUUCCGCGUGCAGGAUGAAGGCCCUCGGGUUGUAAACUGCUUUUGUACAGAACAAAAAGGUUUCUACUAAUACUAGGAGCUCAUGACGGUACUGUAAGAAUAAGCACCGGCUAACUACGUGCCAGCCGCCGCCGUAAUAC
rnacentral:rRNA from 1 species